rnacentral:misc_RNA from 1 species
UAUUCCUUUGUGUCUGUUAGUCAACCUGAUCUGGUCUAUGUUCGUGGGGAGGGCAUCAUGGGCAUGUCCACCCCAUGGCCACCCCAUGCCCACUCCCCCCGCACUCGCCCAUGCUGUCGCACAGACCAAAGCAGGCACUCCCGCACCCACUCCCUCAUAUCGAGGGGCACCAUCCAGCACACCCCCCACUAAUGAUCCUUCCGCAGGUUCACCUACGGAAA